rnacentral:lncRNA from 1 species
UUUCAUUUAGUACUGAUGUGCGAAAACAGUAUCGAAAAUGUGAGACAAUCAUCUUAGCAAUUUACAAGAAAAGAGACAUUCAGGUAAAAAGCAUGCAUCCAAGCCUAGAAACCCUUUCUUGCAGUUUUAACUAGAGUCUUCCAUGCAAGUAUUAAUCAACAAGAAGUAUCACAGGUAUACAGAAGUAGAGAAAGUAGGUGUAAGGAGUUUCUUCGCAGGAAAGACUAUUCCUGAAUGA